rnacentral:rRNA from 1 species
AACGAACGCUGGCGGCAGGCCUAACACAUGCAAGUCGAGCGAGGACUUCGGUCCUAGCGGCGGACGGGUGAGUAACGCGUGGGAACGUGCCCUUUGCUUCGGAAUAGCCCUGGGAAACUGGGAGUAAUACCGGAUGAGCCCUUUGGGGGAAAGAUUUAUCGGCGAAGGAUGGGCCCGCGUUGGAUUAGGUAGUUGGUGGGGUAAUGGCCUACCAAGCCGACGAUCCAUAGCUGGUUUGAGAGGAUGAUCAGCCACACUGGGACUGAGACACGGCCCAGACUCCUGCGGGAGGCAGCAGUGGGGAAGCUAAGGAAAUGGGGGAAACCCUGAUCUAGCCAGGCCGCGUGAGCGAUGAAGGCCUUAGGGUUGUAAAGCUCUUUCAGCUGGGAAGAUAAUGACGGUACCAGCAGAAGAAGCCACGGCUAACUCCGU